rnacentral:rRNA from 1 species
AUUGAACGCUGGCGGCAGGCCUAACACAUGCAAGUCGAGCGGAUGAGAGGAGCUUGCCUCUUGAUUCAGCGGCGGACGGGUGAGUAAUGCCUAGGAAUCUGCCUGGUAGUGGGGGACAACGUGUCGAAAGGAACGCUAAUACCGCAUACGUCCUACGGGAGAAAGCAGGGGACCUUCGGGCCUUGCGCUAUCAGAUGAGCCUAGGUCGGAUUAGCUAGUUGGUGAGGUAAUGGCUCACCAAGGAGACGAUCCGUAACUGGUCUGAGAGGAUGAUCAGUCACACUGGAACUGAGACACGGUCCAGACUCCUACGGGAGGCAGCAGUGGGGAAUAUUGGACAAUGAGCGAAAGCCUGAUCCAGCCAUGCCGCGUGUGUGAAGAAGGUCUUCGGAUUGUAAAGCACUUUAAGUUGGGAGGAAGGGUUGUACGUUAAUACCGUGCAAUUUUGACGUUACCGACAGAAUAAGCACCGGCUAACUCUGUGCCAGCAGCCGCGGUAA